AUCGCUUCUCGGCCUUUUGGCUAAGAUCAAGUGGAAACAGUUCUUAACAUUUAGCUGUCAGAUCAAACUUGGCAAUUAGGUAAUUUAAUUUUAAUUUUUAAUUUAAUUAAUUUUC
rnacentral:snRNA from 1 species